GGCUGUAUGGAAGGAGUGGGUUUCGUGGUGUGUAGAGUUCGGCGUUGACGCACCCUACGAGAUUGGCGGGUCCAGUUCUCCUCGAACGAGAUCUGUACUUCCACAGGCUGAGGCUAACUUUCGAGACGCUUCGGAAGCUGCGAGGGGGGCCAAGAGUAUGCGCGAAAACGAGUGACGGCCCUCGUUUUCGCGCAUUCUCUUGGGAAUAAUGUGUUCAGAUAUUUUCUGGAAUGGUUGAAACAAGAAGUACCGCCCAAACUGUACACCACUUGGAUCGACGAUCACAUUUUCACGUAUCAUGCUCUAGGUGCUCCUUUUCUAGGAGCUCCAGAUGCUCUGAAAGGCGUUC